rnacentral:rRNA from 1 species
UACCAGCACCCCGAGUGGUCGGGACGAUUAUUGGGCCUAAAGCAUCCGUAGCCGGUUCUGCAAGUCCCCCGUUAAAUCCAGCUGCUCAACAGAUGGGCCGCGGAGGAUACUACAGAGCUAGGAGGCAGGAGAGGCAAGCGGUACUCAGUGGGUAGGGGUAAAAUCCGUUGAUCCAUUGAAGACCACCAGUGGCGAAGGCGGCUUGCCAGAAUGCGCUCGACGGUGAGGGAUGAAAGCUGGGGAG